rnacentral:misc_RNA from 1 species
AACUGAUACUACCUGCGGGAACCUGCGGAGGGAUCAUUACUGAGUGAGGGCCCUCUGGGUCCAACCUCCCACCCGUGUUUAACGAACCUUGUUGCUUCGGCGGGCCCGCCUCACGGCCGCCGGGGGGCGUCCGCCCCCGGGCCCGCGCCCGCCGAAGACACCUGUGAACUCUGUCUGAAGUUGCAGUCUGAGAAACUAUUUAAAUUAGUUAAAACUUUCAGCAACGGAUCUCUAGAUCGG